UACAGAGGUGGCAAGCGUUGUUCGGAAUUACUGGGCGUAAAGGGCGCGUAGGCGGCUUGGUCAGUCCCGUGUGAAAUCCCUCGGCUCAACUGAGGAACUGCACGGGAAACUGCCUGGCUUGAGUUCGGGAGAGGGAAGCGGAAUUCCGGGUGUAGCGGUGAAAUGCGUAGAUAUCUGGAGGAACACCGGUGGCGAAGGCGGCAUUCUGGACCGACAUUGACGCUGAGGCGCGAAAGCCAGGGGAGCAAACGGG
rnacentral:rRNA from 1 species